UGCAUCGGCCGGGAAUCGAACCCGGGCCGCCCGCGUUGCAGGCGAACAUUCUACCAUUGAACCACCGAUAGU
rnacentral:tRNA from 1 species